rnacentral:rRNA from 1 species
AGAAUUUUAAUGGUCGAACAGACCAACCUUUAAAGACUUCUGCAUCUUUGGGACAUUCUGGUCCAACAUCGAGGUCACAAACCUUUUUUUCGAUAUGAGCUCUCAAAAAAGAUAAUGCUGUUAUCCCUACGGUAACUAGUUCCUCUGAUCAGAAUAACUGGAUCAAUUCAAGUACGAAUUAUAGUUUUAAAGGAGGCUUUAUCUACUCCUUAGUUGCCCCAACCAAAAUAUUUAAUAGCCUUUCUUUUAUUAAUAUUGGUCUACUUAAACCCUAUUAAUUUUUUUAAAGCUCGAUAGGGUCUUCUUGUCUUUUAAUACGACUUAAGCUUUUUCACUUAAAAAUAAAAUUCUAUAGAAUCAAAAAGAGACAGGUGUAUUCUUGUCAAACCGUUCAUUCCAGCCUUCAAUUAUAAGGCAAAUGAUUAUGCUACCUUUGCACGGUCAGAGUACCGCGGCCGUUUAAAACUCACUGGGCAGGUCCGACUUCGUAU